UCCAGGGUAGCCUAGUGGACAUGGCAUCUGCCCGGUAAUGCGGAACAUUGUGGGUUCGAUUCCCAUCCCUGGAC